CCAACAGAGUAAACCUAUCGCAUUCGGUUGUCGCUCUUUUUUGUUUUGUCUUCUUUUGUCUUGUUUGUUUUUACGGUGGUCGCUGUUUCGGUUCAGGUCAAACGCCAACAAAACGGACACAAGCAACGCAUCUGGGGCAACUGCGGCGAGCGUGCGUUGUGUGUGUGUGUGUCUUUGUGUGCGUUUGUGUUUAUCCUUCCCCUGCCUUUCCUGUCUUCGCUGGUGUUGAAGCUUCUUUGUUGUUGUGCCGCUGUACGACUGCGGCUCCCCUUCUCAGUUUGGAGAUUCGAAACGGCACGUUUGUGAGGAGAGCAGUCCUUCUUUUUUUUUUUACGUGCGUGUCGUCUGCGUCGCGGGCCCACACAGAGGCGCACACGAAAUCUAGGGGCGCGCGCGUGCGGUGUGGCAGGCGUUGAAUGCUUCGUAGCAGCACACACCUCGCGAGAGGCUACGGUUGUGGUGUCUUGGCCUGCACGGCGGCGAGGCUAAGGAAGAAGAGCGGGAAAAGUAGUAACCCUUAUCCCACUGCAGCCCGCACGGUCAUCUACUCACACAGAAGGCCUUUGAAGUGCACGGCAACUUCAGCUUUUGCGACUGCUCCCUCCGCCUCGUCCCCUUCUCCCCCUCCCUCUGGUUCACAUCCGCCAUCGACCGCGCCGAGCAG
rnacentral:misc_RNA from 1 species